rnacentral:SRP_RNA from 1 species
GCUGGGCGUGGUGGUGCAGGCCUGUAAUCCCAGCUACUCUGGAGGCUGAGGCACGGGAAUCACUUGAAUCCAGGAGGUGGAGGUUGCAGUGAGCUGAGAUCAUGCCACUGUACUCUAGCCUGGAUGACAGAGUGAGAUCCUGUCUCAG